GGCCUACGGGGGGCAGCAGUGGGGAAUAUUGCACAAUGGGGGAAACCCUGAUGCAGCAACGCCGCGUGAGUGAAGAAGUAUUUCGUUAUGUAAAGCUCUAUCAGCAGGGAAGAAAAUGACGGUACCUGAGUAAGAAGCCCCGGCUAACUACGUGCCAGCAGCCGCGGUAAUACGUAGGGGGCAAGCGUUAUCCGGAUUUACUGGGUGUAAAGGGAGCGUAGACGGUGCGCCAAGUCUGGAGUGACAUCCC
rnacentral:rRNA from 1 species